GUGACUGCGUACCUUUUGUAUAAUGGGUCAGCGACUUAUAUUCUGUAGCAAGGUUAACCGAAUAGGGGAGCCGGAGGGAAACCGAGUCUUAAUUGGGCGUUAAGUUGCAGGGUAUAGACCCGAAACCCGGUGAUCUAGCCAUGGGCAGGUUGAAGGUUGGGUAACACUAACUGGAGGACCGAACCGACUAAUGUUGAAAAAUUAGCGGAUGACCUGUGGCUGGGGGUGAAAGGCCAAUCAAACCGGGAGAUAGCUGGUUCUCCCCGAAAGCUAUUUAGGUAGCGCCUCGUGAAUUCAUCUCCGGGGGUAGAGCACUGUUUCGGCUAGGGGGCCAUCCCGGCUUACCAACCCGAUGCAAACUGCGAAUACCGGAGAAUGUUAUCACGGGAGACACACGGCGGGUGCUAACGUCCGUCGUGAAGAGGGAAACAACCCAGACCGCCAGCUAAGGUCCCAAAGUCAUGGUUAAGUGGGAAACGAUGUGGGAAGGCCCAGACAGCCAGGAUGUUGGCUUAGAAGCAGCCAUCAUUUAAAGAAAGCGUAAUAGCUCACUGGUCGAGUCGGCCUGCGCGGAAGAUGUAACGGGGCUAAACCAUGCACCGAAGCUGCGGCAGCGACGCUUUGCGUUGUUGGGUAGGGGAGCGUUCUGUAAGCCUGUGAAGGUGUGUCGUGAGGCAUGCUGGAGGUAUCAGAAGUGCGAAUGCUGACAUAAGUAACGAUAAAGCGGGUGAAAAGCCCGCUCGCCGGAAGACCAAGGGUUCCUGUCCAACGUUAAUCGGGGCAGGGUGAGUCGACCCCUAAGGCGAGGCCGAAAGGCGUAGUCGAUGGGAAACGGGUUAAUAUUCCCGUACUUGGUGUUACUGCGAAGGGGGGACGGAGAAGGCUAUGUUGGCCGGGCGACGGUUGUCCCGGUUUAAGCGUGUAGGUGUGUGUUCCAGGUAAAUCCGGUUCACUUUAACACUGAGGCGUGACGACGAGGCACUACGGUGCUGAAGCAACAAAUGCCCUGCUUCCAGGAAAAGCCUCUAAGCAUCAGGUAACAUCAAAUCGUACCCCAAACCGACACAGGUGGUCAGGUAGAGAAUACCAAGGCGCUUGAGAGAACUCGGGUGAAGGAACUAGGCAAAAUGGUGCCGUAACUUCGGGAGAAGGCACGCUGACACGUAGGUGAAGUGAUUUACUCAUGGAGCUGAAGUCAGUCGAAGAUACCAGCUGGCUGCAACUGUUUAUUAAAAACACAGCACUGUGCAAACACGAAAGUGGACGUAUACGGUGUGACGCCUGCCCGGUGCCGGAAGGUUAAUUGAUGGGGUCAGCGCAAGCGAAGCUCCUGAUCGAAGCCCCGGUAAACGGCGGCCGUAACUAUAACGGUCCUAAGGUAGCGAAAUUCCUUGUCGGGUAAGUUCCGACCUGCACGAAUGGCGUAAUGAUGGCCAGGCUGUCUCCACCCGAGACUCAGUGAAAUUGAACUCGCUGUGAAGAUGCAGUGUACCCGCGGCAAGACGGAAAGACCCCGUGAACCUUUACUAUAGCUUGACACUGAACAUUGAGCCUUGAUGUGUAGGAUAGGUGGGAGGCUUUGAAGUGUGGACGCCAGUCUGCAUGGAGCCGACCUUGAAAUACCACCCUUUAAUGUUUGAUGUUCUAACGUGGACCCGUUACCCGGGUUGCGGACAGUGUCUGGUGGGUAGUUUGACUGGGGCGGUCUCCUCCUAAAGAGUAACGGAGGAGCACGAAGGUUGGCUAAUCCUGGUCGGACAUCAGGAGGUUAGUGCAAUGGCAUAAGCCAGCUUGACUGCGAGCGUGACGGCGCGAGCAGGUGCGAAAGCAGGUCAUAGUGAUCCGGUGGUUCUGAAUGGAAGGGCCAUCGCUCAACGGAUAAAAGGUACUCCGGGGAUAACAGGCUGAUACCGCCCAAGAGUUCAUAUCGACGGCGGUGUUUGGCACCUCGAUGUCGGCUCAUCACAUCCUGGGGCUGAAGUAGGUCCCAAGGGUAUGGCUGUUCGCCAUUUAAAGUGGUACGCGAGCUGGGUUUAGAACGUCGUGAGACAGUUCGGUCCCUAUCUGCCGUGGGCGCUGGAGAACUGAGGGGGGCUGCUCCUAGUACGAGAGGACCGGAGUGGACGCAUCACUGGUGUUCGGGUUGUCAUGCCAAUGGCACUGCCCGGUAGCUAAAUGCGGAAGAGAUAAGUGCUGAAAGCAUCUAAGCACGAAACUUGCCCCGAGAUGAGUUCUCCCUGAGACUUAGAGUCUCCUGAAGGAACGUUGAAGACGACGACGUUGAUAGGCCGGGUGUGUAAGCGCAGCGAUGCGUUGAGCUAACCGGUACUAAUGAACCGUGAGGCUUAACCUUACAACGCCGAAG
rnacentral:rRNA from 1 species